UCCCUGGUGGCUCAGACGGUAAAGCGCCUGCCUACAGUGCUGGAGACCUGGGUUCGAUCCCUGGAUCGGGAA
rnacentral:tRNA from 1 species